UACAUGCAAGUCGAACGAACUCUGGGUAUUGAUUGGGUGCUUGCAUCAUGAUUUACAUUUGAGUGAGUGGCGAACUGGUGAGUAACACGUGGGAAACCUGCCCAGAAGCGGGGGAUAACACCUGGAAACAGAUGCUAAUACCGCAUAACAACUUGGACCGCAUGGUCCGAGCUUGAAAGAUGGCUUCGGCUAUCACUUUUGGAUGGUCCCGCGGCGUAUUAGCUAGAUGGUGGGGUAACGGCUCACCAUGGCAAUGAUACGUAGCCGACCUGAGAGGGUAAUCGGCCACAUUGGGACUGAGACACGGCCCAAACUCCUACGGGAGGCAGCAGUAGGGAAUCUUCCACAAUGGACGAAAGUCUGAUGGAGCAACGCCGCGUGAGUGAAGAAGGGUUUCGGCUCGUAAAACUCUGUUGUUAAAGAAGAACAUAUCUGAGAGUAACUGUUCAGGUAUUGACGGUAUUUAACCAGAAAGCCACGGCUAACUACGUGCCAGCAGCCGCGGUAAUACGUAGGUGGCAAGCGUUGUCCGGAUUUAUUGGGCGUAAAGCGAGCGCAGGCGGUUUUUUAAGUCUGAUGUGAAAGCCUUCGGCUCAACCGAAGAAGUGCAUCGGAAACUGGGAAACUUGAGUGCAGAAGAGGACAGUGGAACUCCAUGUGUAGCGGUGAAAUGCGUAGAUAUAUGGAAGAACACCAGUGGCGAAGGCGGCUGUCUGGUCUGUAACUGACGCUGAGGCUCGAAAGUAUGGGUAGCAAACAGGAUUAGAUACCCUGGUAGUCCAUACCGUAAACGAUGAAUGCUAAGUGUUGGAGGGUUUCCGCCCUUCAGUGCUGCAGCUAACGCAUUAAGCAUUCCGCCUGGGGAGUACGGCCGCAAGGCUGAAACUCAAAGGAAUUGACGGGGGCCCGCACAAGCGGUGGAGCAUGUGGUUUAAUUCGAAGCUACGCGAAGAACCUUAC
rnacentral:rRNA from 1 species